AGAAGCAUGGCCUAGUGGCUAGAGCAUAAGCCUGGAAGUCUGAAGGACCUGGGUUCUAAUCCCAGUUCUGCCA
rnacentral:tRNA from 1 species